rnacentral:rRNA from 1 species
CUUUUGAGUAUAAUUUAAGGUCUGGCCUGCCCAAUGAGUAUUUGAAUGGCCGCGGUAUCUUGACCGUGCAAAGGUAGCAUAAUCAUUAGUUUUUUAAUUGGAAGCUGGAAUGAAAGGUUGGAUGAGAAAACUAUUGUCUCUAUUUAAUUUAUUUAGAAUUUUAUAUUUAAGUUAAAAAGCUUAAAUUGAAUUAGAAGACGAGAAGACCCUAUAGAGUUUAAUUAAUUUUUAUGAUGAAAUUUUUAGUAUUAAUUUUUUUUUUAGGGAAAUUAAUUUAGUUGGGGUGAUUAAAAAAUUUAAAGAACUUUUUUUUAUUAUUUAGUACAUUGAUGUAUGAGUAUAUGAUCCUUUAAUAGAGAUUAAAAGAAAAAAUUACCUUAGGGAUAACAGCGUAAUUUUUUUAGAGAGUUCAAAUCGAAAAAAAAGAUUGCGACCUCGAUGUUGGAUUAAAAUAAAAUUUUGGUGUAGAAGCUGAA